rnacentral:sRNA from 1 species
AUUCCCUGGCUGUCCCCUUUGUUUGAAGCUCCAGUGAGGGAGCAGUGGCUGGGGUGGCCCAGCUUCAAAGUCUCUGUCCUCUUGAAAAGAGGUGGUCGGGGGACAUUGACCCACCAGCCCCGCAGGCUACUGCCUGCAAACAAGAACCCCUCAUCUGCCACGCACGUUCUUAAUGUAUCUAUAGUCCGCCUGAUGCCACAAAGGAGUCCAGGGUCUCGCUCUGUCACACAGGCUGGAGUGCAGUGGUGUGAUCUUGGCUCAUCGUAACCUCCACCUCCCGGGUUCAAGUGAUUCUCAUGCCUCAGCCUCCCGAGUAGCUGCGAUUACAGGUGGUGACUUCCAAGAGUGACUCCGUCGGAGGAAAAUGACUGCCCAGUCGCUGCUGCAGACGACACUGUUCCUGCUGAGUCUGCUCUUCCUGGUCCAAGCCAGCGGAACCAGACACACAGGAGCAGCCUCCACUACAAACCCACACCAGACCUGCGCAUCUCCAUCGAGAACUCCGAAGAGGCCCUCACAGUCCAUGCCCCUUUCCCUGCAGCCCACCCUGCUUCCCAAUCCUUCCCUGACCCCAGGGGCCUCUACCACUUCUGCCUCUACUGGAACCGACAUGCUGGGAGAUUACAUCUUCU